GGGUUGUGAGGUUAAGCGACUAAGCGUACACGGUGGAUGCCCUGGCAGUCAGAGGCGAUGAAGGGCGUACUAAUCUGCGAUAAGCGCCGGUAAGGUGAUAUGAACCGUUAUAACCGGCGAUACCCGAAUGGGGAAACCCAGUGUGAUUCGUCACACUAUCAUUAACUGAAUCCAUAGGUUAAUGAGGCGAACCGGGGGAACUGAAACAUCUAAGUACCCCGAGGAAAAGAAAUCAACCGAGAUUCCCCCAGUAGCGGCGAGCGAACGGGGAGGAGCCCAGAGCCUGAAUCAGCAUGUGUGUUAGUGGAAGCGUCUGGAAAGGCGCGCGAUACAGGGUGACAGCCCCGUACACAAAAGCGCAUGUGCUGUGAGCUCGAUGAGUAGGGCGGGACACGUGGUAUCCUGUCUGAAUAUGGGGGGACCAUCCUCCAAGGCUAAAUACUCCUGACUGACCGAUAGUGAACCAGUACCGUGAGGGAAAGGCGAAAAGAACCCCGGCGAGGGGAGUGAAAAAGAACCUGAAACCGUGUACGUACAAGCAGUGGGAGCACNNNNNNNNNNNUGUGACUGCGUACCUUUUGUAUAAUGGGUCAGCGACUUAUAUUCUGUAGCAAGGUUAACCGAAUAGGGGAGCCGGAGGGAAACCGAGUCUUAAUUGGGCGUUAAGUUGCAGGGUAUAGACCCGAAACCCGGUGAUCUAGCCAUGGGCAGGUUGAAGGUUGGGUAACACUAACUGGAGGACCGAACCGACUAAUGUUGAAAAAUUAGCGGAUGACCUGUGGCUGGGGGUGAAAGGCCAAUCAAACCGGGAGAUAGCUGGUUCUCCCCGAAAGCUAUUUAGGUAGCGCCUCGUGAAUUCAUCUCCGGGGGUAGAGCACUGUUUCGGCUAGGGGGCCAUCCCGGCUUACCAACCCGAUGCAAACUGCGAAUACCGGAGAAUGUUAUCACGGGAGACACACGGCGGGUGCUAACGUCCGUCGUGAAGAGGGAAACAACCCAGACCGCCAGCUAAGGUCCCAAAGUCAUGGUUAAGUGGGAAACGAUGUGGGAAGGCCCAGACAGCCAGGAUGUUGGCUUAGAAGCAGCCAUCAUUUAAAGAAAGCGUAAUAGCUCACUGGUCGAGUCGGCCUGCGCGGAAGAUGUAACGGGGCUAAACCAUGCACCGAAGCUGCGGCAGCGACACUGUGUGUUGUUGGGUAGGGGAGCGUUCUGUAAGCCUGCGAAGGUGGCCUGUGAGGGUUGCUGGAGGUAUCAGAAGUGCGAAUGCUGACAUAAGUAACGAUAAAGCGGGUGAAAAGCCCGCUCGCCGGAAGACCAAGGGUUCCUGUCCAACGUUAAUCGGGGCAGGGUGAGUCGACCCCUAAGGCGAGGCCGAAAGGCGUAGUCGAUGGGAAACGGGUUAAUAUUCCCGUACUUGGUGUUACUGCGAAGGGGGGACGGAGAAGGCUAUGUUGGCCGGGCGACGGUUGUCCCGGUUUAAGCGUGUAGGUGUGUGUUCCAGGUAAAUCCGGUUCACUUUAACACUGAGGCGUGACGACGAGGCACUACGGUGCUGAAGCAACAAAUGCCCUGCUUCCAGGAAAAGCCUCUAAGCAUCAGGUAACAUCAAAUCGUACCCCAAACCGACACAGGUGGUCAGGUAGAGAAUACCAAGGCGCUUGAGAGAACUCGGGUGAAGGAACUAGGCAAAAUGGUGCCGUAACUUCGGGAGAAGGCACGCUGACACGUAGGUGAAGUGAUUUACUCAUGGAGCUGAAGUCAGUCGAAGAUACCAGCUGGCUGCAACUGUUUAUUAAAAACACAGCACUGUGCAAACACGAAAGUGGACGUAUACGGUGUGACGCCUGCCCGGUGCCGGAAGGUUAAUUGAUGGGGUCAGCGCAAGCGAAGCUCCUGAUCGAAGCCCCGGUAAACGGCGGCCGUAACUAUAACGGUCCUAAGGUAGCGAAAUUCCUUGUCGGGUAAGUUCCGACCUGCACGAAUGGCGUAAUGAUGGCCAGGCUGUCUCCACCCGAGACUCAGUGAAAUUGAACUCGCUGUGAAGAUGCAGUGUACCCGCGGCAAGACGGAAAGACCCCGUGAACCUUUACUAUAGCUUGACACUGAACAUUGAGCCUUGAUGUGUAGGAUAGGUGGGAGGCUUUGAAGUGUGGACGCCAGUCUGCAUGGAGCCGACCUUGAAAUACCACCCUUUAAUGUUUGAUGUUCUAACGUGGACCCGUUACCCGGGUUGCGGACAGUGUCUGGUGGGUAGUUUGACUGGGGCGGUCUCCUCCUAAAGAGUAACGGAGGAGCACGAAGGUUGGCUAAUCCUGGUCGGACAUCAGGAGGUUAGUGCAAUGGCAUAAGCCAGCUUGACUGCGAGCGUGACGGCGCGAGCAGGUGCGAAAGCAGGUCAUAGUGAUCCGGUGGUUCUGAAUGGAAGGGCCAUCGCUCAACGGAUAAAAGGUACUCCGGGGAUAACAGGCUGAUACCGCCCAAGAGUUCAUAUCGACGGCGGUGUUUGGCACCUCGAUGUCGGCUCAUCACAUCUGGGGCUGAAGUAGGUCCCAAGGGUAUGGCUGUUCGCCAUUUAAAGUGGUACGCGAGCUGGGUUUAGAACGUCGUGAGACAGUUCGGUCCCUAUCUGCCGUGGGCGCUGGAGAACUGAGGGGGGCUGCUCCUAGUACGAGAGGACCGGAGUGGACGCAUCACUGGUGUUCGGGUUGUCAUGCCAAUGGCACUGCCCGGUAGCUAAAUGCGGAAGAGAUAAGUGCUGAAAGCAUCUAAGCACGAAACUUGCCCCGAGAUGAGUUCUCCCUGAGACUUAAAGUCUCCUGAAGGAACGUUGAAGACGACGACGUUGAUAGGCCGGGUGUGUAAGCGCAGCGAUGCGUUGAGCUAACCGGUACUAAUGAACCGUGAGGCUUAACCUUACAACGCCGAAG
rnacentral:rRNA from 3 species